rnacentral:rRNA from 1 species
UACAGAGGUCUCAAGCGUUGUUCGGAUUCAUUGGGCGUAAAGGGUGCGUAGGUGGCGAGGCAAGUCUGGUGUGAAAUCCCGGGGCUCAACCCCGGAACUGCACUGGAUACUGCUUUGCUAGAGUACUGGAGAGGAGAUUGGAAUUUACGGUGCAGCAGUGAAAUGCGUAGAUAUCGUAAGGAAGACCAGUGGCGAAGGCGAAUCUCUGGACAGUUACUGACACUGAGGCACGAAGGCCAGGGGAGCAAACGGG